rnacentral:rRNA from 1 species
GACGAACGCUGGCGGCGUGCUUAACACAUGCAAGUCGAACGGAAAGGCCCCUUUGGGGGUCCUCGAGUGGCGAACGGGUGAGUAACACGUGCGUAACCUGCCCUUGACUUCGGGAUAACUUCAGGAAACUGGGGCUAAUACCGGAUAGGAAUCCUUGCUGCAUGGGGGGGGUUGGAAAGCUUCGGCGGGUUUGGAUGGACUCGCGGCUUAUCAGCUUGUUGGUGGGGUAGUGGCUUACCAAGGCGUUGACGGGUAGCCGGCCUGAGAGGGCGACCGGCCACAUUGGGACUGAGAGAAGGCCCAGACUCCGACGGGAGGCAGCAGUGGGGAAUAUUGCACAAUGGGCGGAAGCCUGAUGCAGCAACGCCGCGUGCGGGAUGACGGCCUUCGGGUUGAAAACCGCUUUCAGCAGGGGCGAAGCUUGUGGUGACGGUACCUGCAGAAGAAGCACCGGCUAACUACGUG